rnacentral:rRNA from 1 species
AUGAACGCUGGCGGCGUGCCUAAUACAUGCAAGUCGAGCGAACAGAUGAGGAGCUUGCUCCUCUGACGUUAGCGGCGGACGGGUGAGUAACACGUGGAUAACCUACCUAUAAGACUGGGAUAACUUCGGGAAACCGGAGCUAAUACCGGAUAAUAUAUUGAACCGCAUGGUUCAAUAGUGAAAGACGGUUUUGCUGUCACUUAUAGAUGGAUCCGCGCCGCAUUAGCUAGUUGGUAAGGUAACGGCUUACCAAGGCGACGAUGCGUAGCCGACCUGAGAGGGUGAUCGGCCACACUGGAACUGAGACACGGUCCAGACUCCUACGGGAGGCAGCAGUAGGGAAUCUUCCGCAAUGGGCGAAAGCCUGACGGAGCAACGCCGCGUGAGUGAUGAAGGUCUUCGGAUCGUAAAACUCUGUUAUUAGGGAAGAACAAAUGUGUAAGUAACUAUGCACGUCUUGACGGUACCUAAUCAGAAAGCCACGGCUAACUACGUA